UACAGAGGAGCCAAGCGUUGUCCGGAUUGACUGGGCGUAAAGCGCACGCAGGCGGUUGCGCGCGUGGGGUGUGAAAUCUGGCCGCUUAACGGCCAGGCGCCAUCCCAUACGGCGCGACUGGAGUGAUGCAGAGGUCGAUGGAAUUGCCGGUGUAGUGGUGAAAUGCGUAGAGAUCGGCAGGAACACCCAGGGGGAAACCAGUCGACUGGGCAUAUACUGACGCUGAGGAGCGAAAGCGUGGGGAGCGAACAGG
rnacentral:rRNA from 1 species